UACAGACUACGCCAUUCUCCAGCGUGGCGUUCUCGUCAAGAUUAACCUUGUUGAAACUGCGCUUUCCGUUUUUUUUUUUGCGUGCGGAAGGCUCACGUACACGUCGCCACGCAACGCCACCGUUGUCGGCAAGUCAUCCAAGCGCGCACAGACUCUCACGUGAGACUCGAGAAUGUCACAGAACCGGGCGGCGGCGGCGUACGAUGACGUGACACGAAAGCGGAAAGACGACUGGAGUAGUCAGCAGGUGGCGUUUCGACACUUCAACAACUUUGUAAAAAAGGCCUUGAUCCAGUUUUCUCUCGACUGCGUGUUAGCCAACGCGGCUGCCUCGCCGUCAGAGGGUGCGGUGGUUCUCGAUCUUGCCAGUGGACGAGGCGGGGACAUCGGUAAGUGGUUUUUCAUGCAAAGUCCGUCGCAGAGCAACCCCCGAGCGCUGUCGGCUGCCCUGCACACCUCCGUCUACGACUGCUACGAUGUCUCUCUCGAGUGCAUCAACGAGGCGGAGAGACGAUGUAAGGAGAUGAUAGCCGCCAUGGAGAGACCGCCGCAGUGCUGUGCCUCGUUCACCGUGGCUGACUGUUUCACUGAGUCGUUUCUACGAGGCACCUUGCCCUGCUCUCCGCAUUUUGGUCGCUACAGCGUUGUGUCGAUUCAGUUUGCGUUCCACUAUGCCUGCAAGAGUCUCGAUCUCAUCCGCGACGUCUUCUCCGCUGUCUCUGAUGCUCUCGCUCCCGGUGGUGUGGUGCUCAUCACGACAGUCGACAUAGAGAUGCUCUCCAAGCGGGCGGCGGAGGGCACGUUAGGCAACGAGCUGUACAGCAUCUCUUUUCCCAAUCCACCUGAGUACGCCGCAGCCUGCAACGGCAAUGCCUUGCUUGUCACGGGCACUGAAUACCACUUCCGCCUGGAUGGCUUCGUUGACUGCCCCGAGUAUGUGGUGCCGCACGAUGCGGUGGUGCAAAUCGCGAGUGAGGCCCGACUGCGGCUUUGCGAGGGCAUGUCGAAGCCUUUCUCCGAGUUUGUGCCGGACUACUCCGCAAACUGGAAGGCAAACAAGGGCAACAAGCUCAGUCCGGCGGAGCUGGAGCUUGUGACCUUGUAUCGCGCUCUGUGCUUCGUGAAAGAGAAGGUAGCACUCUAGCUCUUGACACUUGUGCAAAAGCAUAUUGACUGUAGUCGCCGACCCCACAACCCGAUGAAAGCGUUCCUCGCACGGUCGCCCCUGCGUCGGUGUGACGAGGACAGUAUUUUCUCUUCUGCCGGCGCUGGAUGGGACUGGAUUGUAUUAUUGGUUGCUCGCAUGUGACACUUAUCUCGCCGCCCUGUCAUGAUUUACGAGGACAUGCUUGUGCUUGGGCAGUGCCAAGUCUUGUCUCGCAUACUGGCAAAGCCAAGUGAAC
rnacentral:misc_RNA from 1 species